rnacentral:rRNA from 1 species
GUCUACGGCCAUACUACCCUGAACACACCCAAUCCAGUCUGAUCUUGGAAGCUAAGCAGGGUUGAGCCUGUUAGUAUUUGGAUGGGAGAAUACAACCAAAGGUCACAGGCCAGCUAGCCU